rnacentral:rRNA from 1 species
GACGAACGCUGGCGGCGUGCUUAACACAUGCAAGUCGAACGGAAAGGCCCUGCUUUUGUGGGGUGCUCGAGUGGCGAACGGGUGAGUAACACGUGAGUAACCUGCCCUUGACUUUGGGAUAACUUCAGGUAACUGGGGCUAAUACCGGAUCGCAUCUCCUGCUGCAUUGUGGGGGUUGGAAAGUUUCGGCUGUUGGGGAUGGACUCGCGGCUUAUCAGCUUGUUGGUUGGGGAGUGGUUUACCAAGGCUUGGACCGGUAGCCGGCAUGAGAGGGUGGACGGGCUCAUGGGUACUGAGAGACAGAGCAGACGGGUACGGGAGACAGUGGUGGGGAAUCUUGCACAAUGGGAGGAAGCGUGAGGAAGCGACGCCGGGUGCGGGAUGACGGCCUGUGGGUAGUAAAACGCUUUAGCUUGUGACGAAGCGUGAGUGACGGUACUGGGUAAAGAAGCACCGGCUAACUACGUG